rnacentral:rRNA from 1 species
GGAUGCGAUCAUACCAGCACUAAUGCACCGGAUCCCAUCAGAACUCCGAAGUUAAGCGUGCUUGGGCGAGAGUAGUACUAGGAUAGGACCCCGGGAAGUCCUCGUGUUGCAUCCC